ACGACCUCCUCCCCUCGCGCUCUGGUUUUCUUCCUCUCUUCGCGUCGGUGUUGAAAGCGCCUCGCCUAUCCCGUCUCGCCCUUCGUCGCCUCGGCGCGUUUGCGUUUUCCAUUUCUUCACUCUCUUCCUCUCCUCGUUUCUUCUCCGGUUUGAUUUGUUCCGCUGCUGUUGCGCUUCCGUGCUCUCGCAGAUUCCCUUGGGGGCGUUUCGCUUUCGUGCGGCGCGAGGAGAGCGAGAGCCUGAGUUUGGUUGGCGGGGUUGUUCGGGAUUGGAUCCGAUUGGGUGUUGGGAGUUGCGUCCUAUGGCGUCGUGUGGCGAGGAGAUGGAGGCAGGUCAGUCUUCUGUCAGAUCCGGCGGUUCAUUGGUUUUGUCACUUGGACAUGGAUUCGGUGGUUUCAGGCUCAACUGUCUCUCGGUGUGAUACAGUCAGUUGCCAUCCUAGCCUACACACAAGGUGGAUUUGGCAUCAGAUACAGAUAGUGCGCAAGGUGGAUUCGAGACCUUCGGUCCAUUCGAGAUUUUAACGGCUGAUCUCGCUUGUGGCCUUUUUGGGUGUUUGUCCUCCUCUUACUUUAGAUGCAGAUGCAGAAGGAAGGGUCCCUGCUGGUUAUGGAGAGAUUAGUUGAAGGGUGGAGGUUUGCUUAUGGUUCCUUCCUCGUUUUCUAUUUGGUAUAUGGCUGUUUUGAUGUCAUCAUGGUGGUGGUGUGAAGAUCGCCACCGGACUAACUAGAAGCUUGAUUGUCCUUCAUUGGAAAAAUGUUGUUAGCUGGAUCUGCAGAGGCAAGAGAGGUGAUGUUUUGGGCGUUGACUGGACUGGAGUUGGUAGCAUCGGGAGAAGAUCGUUUGGAUAUAUCUAACUAUCACUCUUCUAUUGAUUCAUCAUCAUACUCUUAAAUUUCUGUCCGCUGCUAUUCUUAUUUUUUUAUAUUGGGGCUGGUGGUUUUCUCCAGCAACUGGAACUGUCCAGGGUUCCCUGUGUUUGUUCACUAACCAUCCUCUCUCCCCAGUCAUUGUUCUUCUAAAAUUGACUUCCUUCAUAGGCUCCCUUUGAUACUUCGUUAGUAAAUCUGCAGUUUUGGGAGACAUCACUAUAGAGUUUGUCCUCCUAUAUGCAAAAGGAAUGGUCCUUGGUGGUUAUGUGAGAGCAGUUGAAUUCAAGGGUGGAGGUUUGCUUAUGUUCGUUAUUUUUGAUUUGUUAUAUGGCUAUUCUGAUGUCAACCAUGGUGGUGUGAAGAUUGCCACCGGACUAAUUAGAAGCUUGAUUAUCCUUAAUUCGUAAAUUGCUGUUAGCUGGAUCUGCAGAGGCAACCGAGGGUGAUGUUUUGGAGGUAGAUUGGAGAUUUGAUUGAUGAUUGGACUCAUUAGUUCAUAGCAUUUGGAGAGACGGAGAACAUCGUUUGGAUAUAUCUACCUUUCGCUCUUUCAUUGGCGCGUUUAAAUUUCUUGUUUCUUAUAUUUGUGCUGGUGCUUUUCUUCAGCAACUGGAUUAUAUGGAUGGAUUGGAGCCUGAGUUUGAUUUCGCUCCUGCAUGAGCAAUAAGAAGUUCUGAACUGUUCAGGGUUCCGUUCAAUAACAAUCCUCUCUUGUCAAUGUUCUUUGAAAAUUGAAUUUUCCCGUAGGCUACCAUUAAUGCUUCUAUAGUAAAUCUGACAGUUCCGGGAGACAUCGCUACAGAGAUAGGACUUACAGCUGACAUUAUUGGCGAUUGACCAGGCUUUAUCCUAAACCCACAUUUAAUGAAGUGUUCUUGCUUUUUAAGUGUUCUCAUCUCACAAUCAAAUAGAUAGUUACAGAGGAUGGUCUCGCUGAUUGCAGAUCUCUAGGUGAUAACUUGCACGGGCACAAAAGGAACCAGUCUCUGCGUCUAUUCAAACAUACAACCUUCAACUCUCAUUGUGUUUGUUCAGUUUCUUCACCUCAAAGUAGAUAAUGAUCGGGGUCAUUAUUGCAGGUCUGAUAUUUUUUGCAUGGGCUUGUCACAUGGAAUAUGUGUUAGGAGUACUUCUAACCUUAUCAAAUUUACAAAAUUGUAUAUGAAUCAUGAUACUUCUAUUGAGUUAAAAAUCGGGUAUUUCUAAUUUAAUCUGCAGUGGUAGAAGGUACUGAGCAUGUUUGGGACUUGGGAGAUUCAAGCAGAGAUGGGUAGAAGCACAACUUUCAUUUAAUAAUCAACUUAUUUCUGCUUUAUCAUGACCGAAGCUUUAAUUCUUGUGCUACUGGCAUUUCUGUGUUUCGCAGAUCAUUUUAGCUCAAGUAAUUGGCAGUCCAACAAUCAUAAUGUUUGGUUUGGGAUUUCUAUCUGUGGAUGCUUUGUCUGGCUUUAUCAAUGUUUUCGUGCUCGCUUUUACAUGUGGUUGCAGGAUGAGUUUGGCAAUUGGAAAUCCCUGUUGCAGGAUGAGUCUAGAUCAUUCCGGUUAUUUUAGUUUCGUCACUUGUUUUCAGUGAUUUCAGAUCUGAAUGGUGGCUAACAUUCUGGCUCUCCAAGGAUAUUUUGCUGGUAGUAAUAGUAAAAGCAAGGUUUGAGAUCCUGGAUUUAUUAAGCACUGUAUAUAGCUCAACUUGGCUGUGGUAUGUGUUCGUGUCCUUUAGAGAUGCAGGAGGACAUUGGAGUUGGAUUUUCCUCAAUCGGAGAUAACAAAUUGGGAAAAAAUUGUGACUAGACCUCGCACUUCUCAACUUCUGUCUAUUUGGUUUGCAUAGCUUUCCAUUCGUUCUGAUCUGUAGUCCCUUAUUAUGUUUCCAGCCCACUUAAACUAUAAGGAUGGCAGGGGGAUGCCUAGGAGUUAUUUUGUGCUGCAACAGUCUAAAUAACAAGGGGGCUUCUAAUUCUUCGUUUCUAUCAAGUCCUAUCCAGUUACUUCCUUGAACCAGUAACUCUUUGAAGUUUGUGCAGAUGCGACAAACAGAAGCUGAGAUAGAAUUUUCAACCAUUGGUGCCGUCUCCAAAGCCCAUCCCUGCUCCACUGGCCAUUUGAUUCGCCUUGGAUUUGAAGGUUUUUUAAGCCUAUCCCUGAACCAAAAUAGACAGAAAUCAUGGAUGAGCUCUUUGGUAAAUAUAGGUUUUGCUUACAAUUUUGAAGUUCAAUCUGAUCGUGAUCAUAAAAUGUGCCUAUCUUUCGAAUUCUGCUACCUUCACUUUUGCUAACCAGUGAGUUUCUGGAUAGAGUGCAUUAAUGUCAAGCUUGAUUACUUCGACUUACCUGCUGUUCAGAUGCUUUGCACUAGUUAGUAACCUGCCCAGAGUUUGCGCUAACUACUAUUCUGACUAUUGACUGCACAUCACUUUCCAGUUAACUUGAUUGAUUUGGAUUGGUGGUGGUUUGCUUGGUUUCCAGUUAUUUGAGAGCGUUAAUGCUUGGAUCUUAGGAGUGAUGGGGGCACAGCCACACCUUAUAAUAUUUUUCAAUUAACCAGAGUUUACGCCUAAUACUCUUGCUCAUACCGGUCAUUUAUUUUGGAUCCACUUAUCUGAUAUAAUAAGUUGAUGGAUGUUUGGUUGGAUUCUCGCAGUUGGAGCUAAAGUGUGGAUGGAUGGUUAGCCAUUCUGAGUUCUAGACGUUUCCACCUAUGGAGUCUUCCUUCCAGUGAUAAAUAAACCUUUGCACUAACUUUAUUUUGAAGCUGUCCUUAACCUACAUGCCUCAUCCAAUGGUGCAGGUUCACUAUUUGCCUCUUGCUUGACAUCCAUACCUUCAUUGAGCAAAAUUAUUCAGAUUCUAAGAGGAUAUUUUACCUGAGCAUAUGUGGUCACCAUAUUCUUUAUGGUCCCAGAUUUCCAAUUUCUCCGUAGGACCCCUACUAAUGUUUAAUCUAGUUCCUGGUUUGCUUCUGGUUUUACUUAGUUUGGUAUAACCCCUACUCGCUCAAUAUAUGUCUUUCAUUAUCAAGUUCGUCUUAUUGCACAGUUCCUUUUAGGUUACUUACUAAUUAUACUCUUGUUUGAGCUCUAAUAUCUGAAAUCAAAGAGAGAUUGAUCUUAUGUGACACUGUUAUUUAAUUUUGUUGGUUAUCAUGAGAAUGAUUGCCUGGGACUAACCGAACACCUCUUUUACUGCAUCCUUUAUGCCUUCAUCUCUAUUUUGUGCAGACUCAAGUCUGGUGUUUGUGACAUUGGCCCUCCCUUUCUUUAACUGUGUUCUGCAAUUUCCCCACUUUGGACUUCCAUCUGGUGCAUCUUAUCUGUUGUGGAUCAAAACCAAGAAAGUAUGUUGCUCUGUGUUCCUGCCAAAAGAAAAUCUGUCUGAACAAACUUGUUUGGCUGAACGAUUGUUGCCUCCUGAUUAUGCCAGCCUAUGUGCCCGUCUCGGUGAUGCAAUGCAAGCUUCUUUGUACUUUGGGAUGGAACUGGAGUCUUCUGUUUGCUUGCUGUUUGGUCAUUUCUGUUGUGGACUAGCAGUACUGCUUAUAAACAUGGAUUUUCAAUUUCAAAAGUUCGGGUUGAAGUUUGAGUCAAUCAGAUUAUUCAGGGUGUUGCAUUGAUAUUCAGUGUUUAAAGUGGAAGAUCUUUAGGAUUUGACUGUAGCAGUAAAAACUCAGUGGAAGUGGGUUUCUUGACCUUGAGUGAACUUGAAUGGUUGGUUCCAUUUGUGUUAUCUGUACAGUUUGGUGUUUGGUCAACUUGAAUGCAAGCUAGGAUGGGAUUGUUUCUGUCUGUGCAACUCUGUAUUGUCGCCAACUUAAUAUAUGUUCUAUAGUGGUUGAGUAGUUAGGUUAACUUCACACUAGGAUUUGCAUUUGGUUUUGGUUAGGUGGAACCAAACUGCGUGCCUUGCAAAAUGGUCCAGGCAACAUAGGCAAUGGCAAUAGUAUAUUAAAUAUUAAACUCUGAAAUGUACCAUGUCCAUGUUGCAUAAUCUGCACUUGUUGGAGCUGAGAAAUGAGGAUGCUAGAACGAAGAAUAUCAGUUUAUCAAACUAUUAACCAAUGAUUCUAAACCAUAUUUUUUUAUACUUCGAUUGCUGGUUAUCAAUUAAUAUUUGGACAUUGGGAGGAAACUUGGUACUUUAGACUCGAGCUGGCACCUGUGUUUCCCUAUCAGUUCUCGUGAAGCUUCACUGUGGUCAGAUUUUUGUGAUAUAUAUGUUGGAUAUCUUAACUGUACAAAAGACUACAUGAGUUUACACUGGCUGGUUUUUAGCUACGCCCUUCCUGAAAUUUCUAUGGUGUUGCCCUUCCCAUGGCAUGGUUUGAUUGGAGUCUGUUCAUGGAAUGAUUUUUGUUGGAGCUGGUUAUUGUGGCAAUUGAGCAUCUUCUGCCUAGUCCAAAUUAGCUGAAGGACUAGUUUUAUUGGACAAGAUUAACUGCAUCUUCUGCCUAGGCCAAGGUAGCUAAAUUAGCUGGAGCACUAGUUUUAUUGGACAAAUUAAGUGGAAGCAUGUGAUUGUUUUACGAUUGGCACACAAUGAUGCAAUAUCCCAGAUACCUGCUCACAACUUCACAUAUAUUUGAACUAGGUUUACUUAUUAUUGAUUAUUGAUUGUUCUAUCAAAGUUAUAGCCUGCAAAAGAAUCCCCUGAAUGUUUUAUUGGUUUUUCAUUAGCAUCUUCCUUGCUGCUUUUUUGUUUUGCACAAAUAACUUGUCAUAACACAUGUUCUCGAUGCUCAUUCAUAAGCUAUGUCUUGUUUAUAUGCUAAAAGAAUAGCUACUUUGUCUGGCGCACAAACUGGUUAGGAGAUUUUUUUAAAAAAUAAAUGUCUGAACAUGAUUAUUUUUUUGUUGGGUAUUAUUUGUUUUUCCUGAUUUGUUGUUUGUUUGUUUGCGGUUUAACACUGCCUUUGCCGGUCCCAAGCCCGGAUGCGAAAAUGUGGAGGGAACUGCAGGACGCUCAGUUGCAUGAUUGGCAUUAGGCUACUGGGAAGAAAUGUGGUUUGGUCAAACAGCUGGAUGCUGAAAGCUCAAAGAGGAGCAUAACCCUACCAUUGCAAUCUGCUGGCUAACUGUUCUGUAGCUGCCGCUGGUUCUGUUCAUUUCAGGUUGUUCAGACUUGCAGAUGAGGGAGCAGGAUAACAGGCAACUAGCAAAAGUGAACCAGUUGUUAGGUUCAGACUUGCAGAUGAGGGAGCAGGAUAACAGACAACUAGCAAAAGUGAACCAGUUGUUAGGACGUUCAUGUCUCCUUCCGUGGCUGGCAAUACUGGUGCUGAACAACUUCUUGCUGGAUAAGCUCGACCAAGGUUCAAUGCUCAGGGUGAGUGCACGUUCGAUGGGAACAUUGGCCUAUAUCCAUUUGUUUUUACAGAGCCUGCAGAAACAAGCAAAUAAAGAAAAAGGAAAGAAAAGUGUCUCCUACUUAAUUGAAAGGCAGAGCUCCUGCCAUUGCGUUCAAAAAAAACAGAGCCUGCAGAAAGAAGUGCUAAUAGGCCGCGUGGUACGAUGAUAACAAAGGCAAUGAUAUCUGUAACUAGGGAUGUCAUCAGACGUUAUGUAAUCGACAAGUUGUUGCCUCACAUCAAAGCAAAGUGCCCAGCUGAGGAUAGGCAUAGCACAAUUUGGAUACUAGACAAUUGUAGAACAAACAUUGCUGUUGAUGAUCCUGAGCUGCACAAGAAGAUGGAUGGGAAUUCGGUUGA